rnacentral:lncRNA from 10 species
CUGUUCUGGGUCAAUAUUUGUUUCACCUUGGCAAAGCUUCCUAUACAAACCUGUGAUCAUAUGCCUUUGUUUUCUCACUUCAGGUACAAGAGAGGUGAGCACAAGAUGGGCCAAAUAUGAGAUGUGGAAUCAGGAAAAACAGAAAAAGUGGAAGAAAUGGCAAACGUGGACGUGAGAGCAGCUGGGUUUUCUAGCUCUGGGCGUCUGCAGGAAUCAUGUUCCAGGAAGGGCUGGGAGAGGCUGCGGGGAAAAGGAAGGGGUGCAGGGGAGUGUGCCCCACCCUUGCCCUGUGCCUGCAGGUGGGCCGGACUUGGACCCUGCCUGGAUGAUCUGCGAAGAAAUAGGGUUCCAAAAGGGCAGAUCCCAAGACAAUGCCUUAUAAAGGUCCUGGCUAACGUUUCCAUGGCAGCUUGCUGAGUGGCCGAGCUGAUCUCAGCCCUUCCAGGGGUGACUCAUUGACUCCUCCCAAGCUGGAGAGGUAGCUGGAGACCACCCUGGCUGAGCUGUGAUCAGUCGCAUCUAGACUAGUUUGGUGUUUCAGAGCAAGUCUCUCAAAUGCCCUGUGCCUCAAUGCUCUCAUCUGCACGUUGGAAGAAAGAAUUCCUGCUUCCCAGAGCCGUUGGGAGGAGUAACAGAGGUGAAGUGUGUAAAGUACACACGAAAGGAACUCAGCUGACAGCAGCAUCUUCACUGAGUUUCAGAUUUCUGACCCACGGAAAGGCAAGAUAUUCUAAUUCUGCACUGCCCAGUAGGGUGGCCUCUAGCCACAUGUGGCCACUGAGAUCCUGCAGUGUGGCCUGUCCAAGCUGAACCGAACUCUUGGUGGGAAAUGCUCACCAGAUUUGAAGACUUUGUAUGACAGAAUGAACAGAAAUAUCUUGACAUUUUUGUCUCAGGUA